rnacentral:rRNA from 1 species
GAUGAACGCUAGCGGCAGGCUUAAUACAUGCAAGUCGUGGGGCAGCAGGUUUGUAGCAAUACAGAUGCUGGCGACCGGCAAACGGGUGCGGAACACGUACACAACCUUCCUUUAAGUGGGGAAUAGCCCAGAGAAAUUUGGAUUAAUACCCCGUAACAUUAUGAUGUGGCAUCAAAUUAUAAUUAUAGCUACGGCGCUUAAUGAUGGGUGUGCUGCUGAUUAGGUAGUUGGCGGGGUAACGGCCCAACAAGCCUGCGAUCAGUAACUGGUGUGAGAGCACGACCAGUCACACGGGCACUGAGACACGGGCCCGACUCCUACGGGAGGCAGCAGUAAGGAAUAUUGGGCAAUGGAGGAAACUCUGACCCAGCCAUGCCGCGUGGAGGAUGAAGGUCCUCUGGAUUGUAAACUUCUUUUAUAUGGGACGAAAAAGGGUCUUUCUAGGUCAACUGACGGUACCAUAUGAAUAAGCACCGGCUAACUCCGUGCCAGCCGCCGCAGUAAUAC